GACGAACGCUGGCGGCGUGCUUAACACAUGCAAGUCGAACGGAAAGGCCCUGCUUUUGUGGGGUGCUCGAGUGGCGAACGGGUGAGUAACACGUGAGUAACCUGCCCUUGACUUUGGGAUAACUUCAGGAAACUGGGGCUAAUACCGGAUAGGAGCUCCUGCUGCAUGGGGGGGGUUGGAAAGUUUCGGCGGUUGGGGAUGGACUCGAGGCUUAUCAGCUUGUUUGUGGGGUAGUGGCUUACCAAGGGUUUGACGGGUAGCCGGCCUUGGAGGGUGACCGGGCACCAGAGGACUGAGGGAGGGACCAGACUCGAAUGGGACGCAGCAGGGGGGAGUAUGGCGGAGUGGGGGGGAGCGAGAUGCAGAGACGCCGGGAGCGGGAUGACGGCUUAUGGGGUGUAAACCGCUUUGGACGGUGACGAAGCGGGAGUGACGGUAACGGGUAAAGAAGCACCGGCUAACUACGUG
rnacentral:rRNA from 1 species